rnacentral:rRNA from 1 species
CGCCAGACUCCUACGGGAGGCAGCAGUGGGGAAUAUUGCACAAUGGGGGAAACCCUGAUGCAGCGACGCCGCGUGAGUGAAGAAGUAUUUCGGUAUGUAAAGCUCUAUCAGCAGGGAAGAAAAUGACGGUACCUGACUAAGAAGCCCCGGCUAACUACGUGCCAGCAGCCGCGGUAAUACGUAGGGGGCAAGCGUUAUCCGGAUUUACUGGGUGUAAAGGGAGCGUAGACGGCAUGGCAAGUCAGAUGUGAAAGCCCGGGGCUCAACCCCGGGACUGCAUUUGAAACUGUCAGGCUGGAGUGCAGGAGAGGUAAGUGGAAUUCCUAGUGUAGCGAUGAAAUGCGUAGAUAUUAGGAGGAACACCAGUGGCGAAGGCGGCUUACUGGACUGUAACUGACGUUGAGGCUCGAAAGCGUGGGGAGCAAACAGGAUUAGAUACCCCUGUAC